rnacentral:rRNA from 1 species
AGAGUUUGAUCCUGGCUCAGAACGUACGCUGGCGGCACGCCUAACACAUGCAAGUCGAACGAAGUAGCAAUACUUAGUGGCAGACGGGUGAGUAACAUGUAGGUAUCUGCCCUUUGGCCUGGAAUAACACGAGGAAACUUGUGCUAAUACUGGAUAAGUCUUUACGGAGAAAGCUUUAUGCACCAUUGGAUGAGCCUGCACUUGAUUAGUUUGUUGGUGGGGUAAUGGCCUACCAAGACUGUGAUCAAUAGCUGAUUUGAGAGGAUGAUCAGCCACAUUGGGACUGAGACACGGCCCAAACUCCUACGGGAGGCAGCAGUGGGGAAUCUUGCACAAUGGAGGAAACUCUGAUGCAGCGAUGCCGCGUGAGUGAAGAAGGCCUUUGGGUUGUAAAGCUCUUUCGUCGGGGAAGAAAAUGACUGUACCCGAAUAAGAAGGUCCGGCUAACUUCGUGCCAGCAGCCGCGGUAAUACGAAGGGACCUAGCGUAGUUCGGAAUUACUGGGCUUAAAGAGUUCGUAGGUGGUUGAAAAAGUUGGUGGUGAAAUCCCAGAGCUUAACUCUGGAACUGCCAUCAAAACUUUUCAGCUAGAGUAUGAUAGAGGAAAGCAGAAUUUCUAGUGUAGAGGUGAAAUUCGUAGAUAUUAGAAAGAAUACCAAUUGCGAAGGCAGCUUUCUGGAUCAUUACUGACACUGAGGAACGAAAGCAUGGGUAGCGAAGAGGAUUAGAUACCCUCGUAGUCCAUGCCGUAAACGAUGUGUGUUAGACGUUGGAAAUUUAUUUUCAGUGUCGCAGCGAAAGCGAUAAACACACCGCCUGGGGAGUACGACCGCAAGGUUAAAACUCAAAUGAAUUGACGGGGACCCGCACAAGUAGUGGAGCAUGUGGUUUAAUUCGAAGAUACGCGCAGAACCUUACCAACACUUGACAUGUUCGUCGCGACUCUAAGAGAUUAGAGUUUUCGGUUCGGCCGGACGAAACACAGGUGCUGCAUGGCUGUCGUCAGCUCGUGUCGUGAGAUGUUGGGUUAAGUCCCGCAACGAGCGCAACCCUCACUUUUAGUUGCCAUCAUUAAGUUGGGCACUCUGAAAGAACUGCCAGUGAUAAGCUGGAGGAAGGUGGGGAUGACGUCAAGUCCUCAUGGCCCUUACGUGUUGGGCUACACACGUGCUACAAUGGUAUCUACAACAGGAAGCAAGACUGCGAAGUUAAGCAAAUCCUUAAAAGAUACCUCAGUUCGGAUUGCACUCUGCAACUCGAGUGCAUGAAGCUGGAAUUACUAGUAAUCGUGGAUCAGCGUGCCACGGUGAAUGCGUUCCCGGGUCUUGUACACACCGCCCGUCACACCAUGGGAGUUGGUUCUACCUUAAGGCAAGGUUUAAAACCCUUGACCACGGUAUAGUCAGCGACUGGGGUGAAGUCGUAACAAGGUAACC